rnacentral:rRNA from 1 species
CCCUUAGAUGUCCUGGGCCGCACGCGCGUUACACUGAUGCAUUCAACGAGCUUAUAACCUUGGCCGAGAGGCCUGGGCAAUCUUGUUAACGUGCAUCGUGAUAGGGAUAGAUUAUUGAAAUUAUUAAUCUUGAACGAGGAAUUCCUAGUAAACGCAGAUCAUCAAUCUGCAUUGAUUACGUCCCUGCCCUUUGUACACACCGCCCGUCGCACCUACCGAUUGGAUGGUCCGGUGAAGCCUCGGGAUUGUGGUUCUUGCCGCUUUAUUGUGGCGUGACCGCGAGAACUUGUCUAAACCUUAUCAUAUAGAGGAAGGUGAAGUCGUAAC